AGUGAACGCUGGCGGUAGGCCUAACACAUGCAAGUCGAACGGCAGCACAGUAAGAGCUUGCUCUUACGGGUGGCGAGUGGCGGACGGGUGAGGAAUACAUCGGAAUCUACUUUUUCGUGGGGGAUAACGUAGGGAAACUUACGCUAAUACCGCAUACGACCUACGGGUGAAAGCAGGGGAUCUUCGGACCUUGCGCGAUUGAAUGAGCCGAUGUCGGAUUAGCUAGUUGGCGGGGUAAAGGCCCACCAAGGCGACGAUCCGUAGCUGGUCUGAGAGGAUGAUCAGCCACACUGGAACUGAGACACGGUCCAGACUCCUACGGGAGGCAGCAGUGGGGAAUAGUGGACAAUGGGCGCAAGCCUGAUCCAGCCAUACCGCGUGGGUGAAGAAGGCCUUCGGGUUGUAAAGCCCUUUUGUUGGGAAAGAAAAGCAGCAGGUUAAUACCCCGCUGUUCUGACGGUACCCAAAGAAUAAGCACCGGCUAACUUCG
rnacentral:rRNA from 1 species